UACGUAGGGGGCAAGCGUUGUCCGGAAUCAUUGGGCGUAAAGCGCGUGUAGGCGGCUCGGUAAGUCUGCUGUGAAAGUCCAGGGCUCAACCCUGGGAUGCCGGUGGAUACUGUCGAGCUCGAGUCCGGAAGAGGCGAGUGGAAUUCCUGGUGUAGCGGUGAAAUGCGCAGAUAUCAGGAGGAACACCAAUGGCGAAGGCAGCUCGCUGGGACGUGACUGACGCUGAGGCGCGAAAGCGUGGGGAGCAAGCAGG
rnacentral:rRNA from 1 species